rnacentral:rRNA from 1 species
GAUGAACGCUGGCGGCGUGCCUAAUACAUGCAAGUCGAGCGAACAGAUGAGGAGCUUGCUCCUCUGACGUUAGCGGCGGACGGGUGAGUAACACGUGGAUAACCUACCUAUAAGACUGGGAUAACUUCGGGAAACCGGAGCUAAUACCGGAUAAUAUAUUGAACCGCAUGGUUCAAUAGUUAAAGACGGUUUUGCUUUCACUUAUAGAUGGAUCCGCGCCGCAUUAGCUCGUUGCUAAGGUAACGGCUUACCAAGGCGACGAUGCGUAUCCGACGUGAGAUGGUGAUCGGCCACACUGGAACUGAGACACGGUCCAGACGCCCACGGGAGGCAGCAGUAGGGAAUCUUCCGCUAUGGGCGAAAGCCUGACGGAGCAACGCCGCGUGAGUGAUGAAGGUCUUCGGAUCGUAAAACUCUGUUAUUAGGGAAGAAAAAAUGUGUAAGUAACGAUGCACGUCUUGACGGUACCUAAUCAGAAAGCCACGGCUAACUUCGUG